AGCUUAUAACAAUAUUGAAGAAUAUUUUUUACAUAGUUUCUAACAAUAUGUGUAAGAGUCUUUAUAAGUUUGUAGAGUAAUUUUACUAAGUAGAUAAUAAAGCAUAUUUUUACUGACUUUGACAAACAUCGAAUUAAAGUAAAAGAGAUAUAUGUCCAAAGAACCUGUUUAUCACAUAUUAAUUUAAGAUUUAGACAUGAGAAGCUAUCUGCGCGUUGGAGGCUGCGUUUGCUUAGAAAACUUUCUUAACCUUUAACUGCUCGCACUGGUGUAAAAAAUACACCAAGUUGGUGCCAACCACUGCCGAUUCCAUACGAUCACUUUUUCGGCGUCACCGAGCUAGCUAUGCUUCGCUCGAUGUGUCUUCCAAAUGCAGUGCCAAUACGGUUUUGAUCGCCUAAGUAGAAGGUCGAAU